rnacentral:rRNA from 1 species
AAUGAACGCUGGCGGCGCGCCUAAUACAUGCAAGUCGAGCGAGAAGACGUAGCAAUACGUUUGUAAAGCGGCGAACGGGUGAGGAAUACAUGGGUAACCUACCCUCGAGUGGGGAAUAACUAGCCGAAAGGUUAGCUAAUACCGCGUACGCUCCUUGGACUUCGGUUCAGGGAGGAAAGCGAUACCGUGGGUAUCGCGCUCUUGGUUGGGCUCAUGUCCUAUCAGCUUGUUGGUGAGGAACGGCUCACCAAGGCUUCGACGGGUAGCUGGUCUGAGAGGACGAUCAGCCACACUGGCACUGCGACACGGGCCAGACUCCUACGGGAGGCAGCAGUAAGGAAUAUUGCGCAAUGGGCGAAAGCCUGACGCAGCGACGCCGCGUGGGGGAUGAAGGUCUUCGGAUUGUAAACCCCUUUCGGGAGGGAAGAUGGAACGAGCAAUCGUUCGGACGGUACCUCCAGAAGCAGCCACGGCUAACUUCGUGCCAGCAGCCGCGGU